rnacentral:piRNA from 1 species
UAUAGUCAGGGACCAUGUCCUUCCUGGCCUA